rnacentral:rRNA from 1 species
UGGGGAAUUUUGGACAAUGGGCGCAAGCCUGAUCCAGCCAUGCCGCGUGCGGGAAGAAGGCCUUCGGGUUGUAAACCGCUUUUGUCAGGGAAGAAAUCUUCUGAGUUAAUACCUCGGGAGGAUGACGGUACCUGAAGAAUAAGCACCGGCUAACUACGUGCCAGCAGCCGCGGUAAUACGUAGGGUGCAAGCGUUAAUCGGAAUACUGGGCGUAAAGCGUGCGCAGGCGGUUUUGUAAGACAGAGGUGAAAUCCCCGGGCUCAACCUGGGAACUGCCUUUGUGACUGCAAGGCUUGAGUGCGGCAGAGGGGGAUGGAAUUCCGCGUGUAGCAGUGAAAUGCGUAGAUAUGCGGAGGAACACCGAUGGCGAAGGCAAUCCCCUGGGCCUGCACUGACGCUCAUGCACGAAAGCGUGGGGAGCAAACAGGAUUAGAUACCCUGGUAGUCCACGCCCUAAAACGAUGUCAACUGGUUGUUGGGAAGGUUCCUUCUCAGUAACGUAGCUAACGCGUGAAGUUGGCCGCCUGGGGAGUACGGCCGCAAGGUUG